rnacentral:lncRNA from 1 species
GCUGUUCCUUUUCCGUGCAGUCUGACAACAAACAAAGCAGCUCGCUGUGGAAGGAUCUACAAAACACGUGGAUCAGCCGGCCACAUUUCUUGGGUAGGUGUAGACAGACUGCAGCGAUAGCUGUGGGUCAGCUGCUGCACCACCAUCCUGCACCAGACUGGGGAAAAGCAUGUGUCUGUGAAACUAAAACAACUAAGGAUAAGAAGUGACAAAAAUGUAGCUCUUGAUUCUGAAAUAUGAAGUCUAUUUAAACACCCUUAUUACCAAUACAAGAAAGACACUAGUGAAGCAAUAAGGUACCCAAGAAUUUUUGAUGCACUAUAAAAAAUUGGAUUAUAUGCGACUAAAAUGACAGAAUUUUAAUUUCUUACCUAAUGCAAGUACAGAAAUAUUUUCUCCCGCUAACAUGCCCUAAAAGUAGAGUUGCACGCACAUACUUCAGCUGCCUCUGACUGUGCUUCCUGAGCUUCCUUUCCUUUCAUUUGUGUACAUGGAAUAAGUUUCUUUAUAGUUUGUGGUACUGAAAGUUAUGCAACAGGGGAUUUUAAUUUUGUCAUCCAUUGGGGCUUCAACCUACUCACUGACUCAUGGGAAGAAUACGAGGAUUUUUAAUGAUCUCUUCUUCAGAAAGAAUCACUUGCUGAAGUAAAAUUCGCUACAAGUCUGUAGAAACAAUUGUCCAUCUGUUGCCUCGAGAUGUGGAAGCAAACAAGAAGCAAGGGAGCAGAAUAAAUUGUUCUGUGUGGAGGGUUUCCAGCCCACCCAGUGCAGGACUGUGCCCAGAGGCGGCUCCCGGUGCCCUCGGCAAGUGGAGGCAGAGCCGAGGCACGGGCGUGAGCCUCUGUCACACCUGGGGGCACCUGGAAAGUAGCAGAGGACCAGUGUCACAGUGAAGAGCUGCUGUUCACUAAAACAUGCAUGGUGGGGUUAGUUCAGUCUUCUUUGAAAGCUGAUUUUUUCUGAAAGAGCAGCACCAAAAGCUGGAAGCAGUAACUCCAUUGUGAGGGCUCUGUUGCGUCUGUAACAAAGGCUCUGCUGUGCUCACACACCACAGCCUCCAAAGCUCAGGAUGUUUUCAGCCUAUUUACUGCUAUUCAUAGUGGGGUAAAUCUGGCAUGGCUGCUGGAACAUUGAUUAAGGUCAGUUUUAAUCACAUGGAUCCUUGAUACAAAAAUAUACUUUUUUUUUUUGAUGGUGGCAUGUGCAGCAGAGGAAAUUAACUACAACUCUGAACUUCCAGCGUGACCUUAAACAACAUCACUCUGCUCAGACUCUAGCCUGGCAAAUCACUGAGCAGCGGACGCGUGGAGGAGGCAGAAAGCCUGUUACAUCUCGAUAUUCAAACCAGCUCAGCUCCAGCCACCGUAUAAAUUAGAGCAACUAUUUAGGUC